ACCCACGAACUACAAUGAACUUCAUCCAGCUUUUGUUGCUUCUUGUUUUGGUGCUACUGACCAUAUAUGUGAUGGGAUCAGUUGCCUCCCCCUGGAGAUGGCACAGAAGAUGGUCUGAUUCCAGCAGCGGUGGUUCCUGGAGCUGGAGUCGUGGAUAACUUAAUGGUAUUGCAGAAGAAAUUUGUUUUUAUUUAUUUUAAAGUAUAUCUUGAACUAAAUUUUGUUUUCAUACACACGUUCACAAUAUACUAUGUUUCUUAAUGAAAACAUUAGUUUUACUUAGUUGUUAUCAAUAAAAUGAAGUGUCAAGUCA